rnacentral:lncRNA from 1 species
GACAAUUGAUCUUCCAAACUUAAAAGGUCAUACAAGGGAAUUUUCCGUCAAUCUGAAAGGAUAGAGGGUGUUCUAAAAUAUAGACAAAAGUCAAUGAGUUAUUGCGCCAAUUAUCCUCGGUUAUAUAAUAUAUAGUUUUCAAUAUCAUUUAAACAAUUUAACUCAAACCGAUGGCGCUAGUCUUCUUGACUUCAGAGGAAUUGGAAGAUCUAAAGUGCCCAAAAAUAUAGACACUACCAUGUAAAAAAUGGAAGCACAUAAGUCGGAUGAGCGUCUCGAAUUACGGCAUGAUUACGAACAACAGUAGUAUUUGCAAAUGUAUGAAGUCCAUCUAGGGGUGGGCGCGGGUCGGUUCGGUUCGGUUCUCUUUAGAACCGAACCGAACCAAACUUUUCGGGUCUCUAGUAAAUGGAACCGUCGGG